rnacentral:rRNA from 1 species
CGCGGCCUAUCAGCUUGUUGGAGGGGUAAUGGCUCACCAAGGCAUCGACGGGUAGCUGGUCUGAGAGGAUGAUCAGCCACACUGGAACUGAGACGCGGUCCAGACUCCUACGGGAGGCAGCAGUGGGGAAUCUUGCACAAUGGGCGAAAGCCUGAUGCAGCAACGCCGCGUGCGGGAAGAAGGCCUUAGGGUUGUAAACCGCUUUCAGUAGGGAAGAAAAUGACGGUACCUACAGAAGAAGGUGCGGCCAACUACGUGCCAGCAGCCGCGGUAACACGUAGGCACCAGGCGUUAUCCGGAUUUAUUGGGCGUAAAGAGCUCGUAGGCGGUUCAGUCAGUCGGGUGUGAAAACUUGAGGCUUAACCUCAAGAGGUCACUCGAUACUGCUGUGACUAGAGUGCGGUAGGGGAGCGGGGAAUUCCUGGUGUAGCGGUGAAAUGCGCAGAUAUCAGGAGGAACACCAGUGGCGAAGGCGCCGCUCUGGGCCGUAACUGACGCUGAGGAGCGAAAGCAUGGGUAGCAAACAGGAUUAGAUACCCUGGUAGUCCAUGCCGUAAACGUUGGGCACUAGGUGUGGGUCUCAACCAACGAGAUCCGCGCCGUCGCUAACGCAUUAAGUGCCCCGCCUGGGGAGUACGG